rnacentral:rRNA from 1 species
AACGAACGCUGGCGGCGUGGAUAAGACAUGCAAGUCGGACGGGAUUUUCCGUUGUAGCAAUACGAUGGAAAGUCUAGUGGCGAACGGGUGCUUAACACGUGGGCAACCUGCCAGGAAGUGGGGGAUAGCUCGCCGAAAGGCGAAUUAAUACCGCAUGUGAUUAGAGAGGACAUCCUUUCGAAAUUAAAGUCGGGGCAGCCUGACGCUUCUUGUGGGGCCCGCGGCCUAUCAGCUAGUUGGUGAGGUAAUGGCUCACCAAGGCUUUGACGGGUAGCUGGUCUGAGAGGACGACCAGCCACACUGGGACUGAGACACGGCCCAGACACCUACGGGUGGCAGCAGUCGAGAAUUUUUGACAAUGGGGGAAACCCUGAUCGAGCGACGCCGCGUGGAGGAUGAAGGUCUUCGGAUUGUAAACUCCUGUCAUUGGGGAACAAGGUGCAUACGUUAACUGCGUGUGCAUUGAUAGUACCCGAAGGGGAAGAGACGGCUAACUCUGUGCCAGCCGCCGCCGUAAUAC